rnacentral:lncRNA from 1 species
AUGUCAGACUUUUUGAUCUCAAUUAAACCGGUUAUAUCCCUUCACGUAACAGGUUGUCAGUUCCACUUCCAAAUAUAAGAGACGUGGUUUUUUUAGGAACACUUAAUUAUACGAAACAUAUAUGACAAUUGUACACAUGAUGGAAAAUGAAAUAUUCUAUUUCAUCUCACGAACAUAGUAAAGUACUAUAAACACAAUUAGAAUCACAACCAACUUCCAACCCCAACCAAUCUCUAACCCUGAAAUAUUAGACCUUAAACCAACCCACCUCGAAACCAUAAAUACUAACCCCUAAACCCAAAUUCAUAAACCCAAACCCAAUGUAAAAUAUCUUUAAUAAAUUAAAAUAUAAAAUAAUAUAUAAUUAACUAUUUUAUUUCACCUCGCCAAUGUAGUAUAGUACUAAAAUCACUAGAAUCACAACCAACCUUUAACACUGAAAUACUAAACCCUAAACCAACUCACCUCAAAUCCAUAAAUACUAAACCCAAAACCCGAAUUCAUAAACCCAAACCCAAAUAUAAAAUUUUUUUAAUAAAUUAAAAUACAAAAAUAGUAUAAAUUUAAUUGUUCAAUUUCAUCUCACCAACAUAGUAUAAUACUAUAACCACCAGAAUCACAACCAACCUCCAACACUGAAAUACUAAACCUUAAACCAACCCACCUCAAAGCCAUAAAUACUAAACCUUAAACCUGAAUUCAUAAACCCAAACUCAAAUGUAAAAUAUCUUUAAUAAAUUAAAAUACGAAAAUAGUAUAAAUUUAACUGUUCUAUUUCAUUUCACCAACAUAGUAUAGUACUAUAACCACAAUCAGAAUCACAACCAAUCUCCAAUCUCAACCAACCUCCGACCCUGAAAUACAAGAUCCUGAACAAACCCACCUCGAAGCCCUAAAUACUAAACUCUAAACCCGAAUUCAUAAACCCAAACCCAAAUGUAAAAUAACUUAAAUAAAUCAAAAUACAAAAAUAGUAUAUAAUUAAUUGUUCUAUUUCAUCUAACCAACGUAAUAUAGUACUAAAAUCACAAU